UACGAAGGGGGCUAGCGUUGUUCGGAAUUACUGGGCGUAAAGCGCACGUAGGCGGACUGUUAAGUCAGGGGUGAAAUCCCGGGGCUCAACCCCGGAACUGCCUUUGAUACUGGCAUUCUCGAGUCCGGAAGAGGUGAGUGGAAUUCCGAGUGUAGAGGUGAAAUUCGUAGAUAUUCGGAGGAACACCAGUGGCGAAGGCGGCUCACUGGUCCGGUACUGACGCUGAGGUGCGAAAGCGUGGGGAGCAAACAGG
rnacentral:rRNA from 1 species